rnacentral:rRNA from 1 species
AUGAUUCCAGGACCUGGAAUCAUACCAGCCGAUGGAAUUAACCCAUGCAAGUCGAAGAAGGAUUGGCCGGUGCUGCCGGCUGGCGUCAAGUUCGAUCCCACGGAUCAGGAGCUGAUCGAGCACCUUGAGGCCAAAGUGAGUGCUGACAGCGCGAGAUCUCACCCUCUCAUCGAUUUGUUCAUACCAACCAUCGACAACAAGCACGGCAUAUGCUACACCCAUCCUGAGAAACUUCCAGGUACCACACUGAGUGGCCUAAGCAAGCAUUUCUUCCAAUGCAAUUCCAGGGCGUUCAAAAGGGGCACGUGGACGCGUCGCAAGAUACAGUCGGAGUGCGGCAUGCACGCGAUGUGGCACAACACCGGCAAUACCUUGCUGGUGAUGGUCAACGGCCGGCAGACGGGCAGCAAAAAGGUUCUGGUGCUGCACACCAACAAGAACUUCGACCAGCAGAGGACCAACUGGGUGAUGCACCAGUACCACCUCGGGGACCUGGAGCAAGAGAAGGAGCGGGAGCUGGUCCUCUGCAAGAUUUUCUACCAGACGAACACUAGGGCCAGGAGUAAAAAGAUUAUAAGUUAG